rnacentral:lncRNA from 1 species
AAAUAACCUAGUGCAAAAAUGAUUUAAACGUAAGUAAAGGAAAAUUAGUCUGUUGGAUCAUGGGUAGUAAAGUUUCAUCAUAUAAAGAAGACUCAGAGAGACUAGUGUCAUGGCAACAAAGAAAAGCAUUUCAUAAGAGAAUGUUAUUAUCAAAAUUCUAAGUGAUCGAAGCAAAUAAAGAAUGAAAUGUGAACUUUGGAUAUAAACUUUGGAGAUUAGCUGGGUUGUACAUAUAGCACUGAGAGCAGAAAAGAAUUGGAAUUUAGAGAGUCACAUUUUUUUUUUCUAUAUGUCAGGCAUGAUCAAAAGAAGUGGGGCAUUACCUAGAAAGGAUUAAGAGUAAAUGAUAAUAUUUAUUCUUGAUGAUGUUGCUGUUGUUGCCUGGGUUGUUAAAUAUGAAAGACACUUUGGCAUAAGGCCUCUACAUUGUAAGUUCUUUAUAAAUGUUAUUGAAUUGAUGUUUACAACCUCACAGGCAGCUACAGGACAGGGCAUUUUGAAAUAUUUCAAUGGAGAAAUGAGAAAUGGUGAGAGGUGAAGCCAGCUGGACUUCCUGGGUCGAGUGGGGACUUCCAGACUUUUCUGUCUAGCUAGAGGAUUGUAAAUGCAGCAGUCAGCACUCUGUAAAAACACACCAAUCAGUGCUCUGUGUCUAGCUAAAGGAUUGUAAACUCAACAAUCAGCACUCUGUAAAAUGAACCAAUCAGCACUCUGUGAAAUGGACCAAUCAGCACUCUGUAAAAUGGACCAAUCAGCAGGAUGUGGGCAGGGCCAAAUAAGGGAAUAAAAGCUGGCCACCAGAGCCAGGAGUGGCAACCCACUCCGGUCCCCUUCCACGCUGUGGAAGCUUUGUUCUUUCACUCUUCACAGUACAUUUUGCUCCCUCUUUGGAUCUGUACUACCUUUAUGAGCUGUAACACUCACUGUGAAGGUAUGCAGCUUCACUCCUGAAGUCAGACCACGAACCCACCCAGGGGGGGAACAAACAACUUCAGACAUGCCACCUUUAAGAGCUGUAACACUCACUGUGAAGGUCUGUGGUUUCAUUCCUGAAGUCAGCAAGACCAUGAACACACCCAAAGGAAGGAACUCUGGACACAUCUGAACGUCUGAAGGAACAAACUCCAGACACACCAUCUCUAAGAACUGUAACACUCACCACGAGGAUCCACAGCUUCAUUCUUGAAGUCAGCGAGACAAAGAACCCACCGGAAGGAACCAAUUCUGGGCACAAUGGUACAGAAAAUUCCUAGAAUAGCAAGAAAAGAAUUCAUUGAGAUAACAUCAAAAGUUGAGGGAAAUGCAAGUAGUUUGAGAGGAAUGUAAUACAUCUAUCAUGAGGGUUAUAGAUAGAAUUCCAAGAGUAAUACCAUGUAAAAUAAGGGGGUAUAUAUCUGUCAUAAGAGGUUUUAAUUUUGGAAGAGAUUUGUAGAACAAAAUGAGGCAAAGUCCAGAGGAAACUUGUUUUCUUAAUUUGUUUGGAUGGAAGUGAAUUAAAUACUUUUUGUUUGUUUAAGGGGACGUACCCAGGAGAAUAGGAAACUUACAAAAUUGUUGGAAAUGUGAUUCUAGUGCCCAUUAUGUCACACUCUUGUGUUGUUUCUCUGAGAGUUGCACUAAGAAAGUUCAAAUACCUGUUGGCUUCCAUAGACUAAAUUCGGGCUGAUAACGAGAAAGGUUCCUGACCAAGGGGAGUAAAGGAGAUGGAAUGAAGCUUGUGUGCUGUACUUCAAGUCAUGCAUCCAG